AAAGGGGCUUCGGCCCUGAGUACAGUGGCGUACGGGUGAGUAACACGUGAAUUAUCUACCUCCGAGUGGGGAAUAACCUAGAGAAAUCUGGGCUAAUACCGCAUAACACUUACGAGUCAAAGCAGCAAUGCGCUUGGAGAGGAGUUCGCGGCCGAUUAGUUAGUUGGCGGGGUAAUGGCCCACCAAGACGAUGAUCGGUAUCCGGCCUGAGAGGGCGCACGGACACACUGGAACUGAAACACGGUCCAGACUCCUACGGGAGGCAGCAGUGGGGAAUUUUGCGCAAUGGGGGAAACCCUGACGCAGCAACGCCGCGUGGAGGAUGAAAUCCCUUGGGAUGUAAACUCCUUUCGAUAGGGAAGAUAAUGACGGUACCUAUAGAAGAAGCCCCGGCUAACUUCGUGCCAGCG
rnacentral:rRNA from 1 species